UCUUGGCUCUUGCAACGAUGAAGAACGCAGCGAAAUGCGAUACGUAGUGUGAGAUUGCAGAAUUCCGCGAAUCAUCGAGUCUUUGAACGCAAGUUGCGCCCGAGGCUUGACCAAGGGCAUCCCUGCCAGAGCGUCACCGCGACACCCACCAAUCCACUCC
rnacentral:rRNA from 1 species